AUACGGAGGGUGCAAGCGUUACUCGGAAUCACUGGGCGUAAAGCGCGCGCAGGCAGCUUGAUAAGUUGGAUGUGAAAGCCUACGGCUCAACCGUAGAACUGCAUCCAAAACUGUCAGGCUAGAGUGUGGGAGAGGAAGAUGGAAUUAGUUGUGUAGGAGUAAAAUCCGUAGAGAUAACUAGGAAUACCAAAAGCGAAGGCAAUCUUCUGGAACACUACUGACGCUGAGGCGCGAAGGCGUGGGGAGCAAACAGGAUUAGAAACCCCAGUAGUCC
rnacentral:rRNA from 1 species